UAAGAAUUAACACUGUAAGUAACAGAUUACUUUCAAGAAAAAAAUAAUCUAUGCUAGAAUAAGACAAAAAAAUAUAAUAUUUUAAAUAUUUAAAUCAAUACUUCGAUAAGCUAUUAUUCAAUUAACAAUUAAAUAUACUACAAUAUGAUACUAUAGUAGUGUUUAAGUGACCUACCCAAAUAUUUAAGCUAAAUAUCUAGAUAAUAAAAUGAGAGUUUCCAUAAUAACAAAGAAUUUGAGAAUAUUCAACGGUUUUUAUAUACUAGUUUAAUUAUAUUGCAGUAAAUGUGCAUAUACUGGUGUACAUAUAAUUUUUGAUUAAUAAGUAAUUUAAAGAAUUUAAAUGUAUGUUUUAAAUUAAUAAAAACAUUAAAAAGAUUGCGCAAAAGCAAUGAAAUAUAAAACUUAUAUUUUUUUUUUCACAAAUCUCAAUUAUAAUCAAGCAGAGACUUUCAAAAUAAGACCGAGCAACGGUAAUGGGAAUAGUAAUAUACAAAUGGGAAGCAUACUAUAUUUUUUGGGAACUAUAAUUUCUUUGGGAAGAUCCAAUUACAAAAUGUGGGAUAAACAGACUUGAGGGGAUAAAGCCAACGCAAAAGAUAAAUUGAAAAUAAAAUCUAUACAAUCAAUGAAAUUCUAAUACUUAAAUGCUGGACAUACGUGGAAAAAUGUGAACUACGGAAGUUCAUUAUCUAGGACAUAAUGAUCCUUCAUAUUUUUGUUAUAAACAAAUACAUUAUACAUUGAAAGUUAACGAUAUGACUUAAAAGAUUAUGUGAUGAAUAAUUUUUAAAACAAAUUAUGGAAUAUCUGAGAAAACAAUGAAACAUGGGCCCAUAUACAAAUUCAUAUGCAUAUUCAAAACAACAGACACAACACACUACAAAACAAUGACAAUAAAAUGUUUGAGUGCGGAUUAGUGUUGGUAAACUAAUGAAAAACUAACUUAUGAAGAAAUAUCACUCACACUCAAUGUAUACAUAGAAAUUUCAUGUAGAACCACGCAAAAUAUUAAAAAAAAAAUGAAUGAAUAAAUAAAAGUAAAUACAAAUUAUUAUAUUAUUUUUAUAACAAUCUUUUGAGUCUUGCCAACACUAGUGCUGAAGAGAGUAUGAUUGGACAAGGGGAUCGCGACCCCGGAAUGUAUUUGUAUGUAUGCGAAAGAAUGUAUAACUCACUGACAAUACACACACGACAAACUCAACAAAUGAAUUAGCUUUUAAAUAUAAAGGAAAAAAGAUAAACAAUAAUAAUUUUCAAGAACGAUAUUUAUCUAUGCAGUUCACCAAUGAAAUUCAAACUUGUAAGACCGAUAAGGAAAGUUGGGGGAAAUCGGCAGCAAAAUUCAAAAACAAAUACAAAAUGGCAUGUAAGCCCAGUGCGAAAAGGGGAUACUGGCAAUAACCAUAAAAAGAAAAUAAAUGGGGUAAUUCAGGCAUAAUACACUAUGUCAAUAAAAAAAAUACGCAGAUUAUUUUAAUACUGUCAAAAUAAUAAUAAUAAUUAUAAUAAUAAUUAAACGUUUUGAAAAACGAGUGAAAAUUUGUACUGUAUUCCUUAAUGGAAAAUUUUGAAACAUAAAUAAUGUAUUAAAUACAAGAUCUAAGUCUCAUUACAGGAUUAAAUCAUAGUCGGAGAAAUGAGAAGCUACAGCAUGGAAAGACGAUUGGAAGACAGAAAAUGAUGAAAGCAAGAAAUUGUCUUACAGGCUUAGACAAUGGAUAUCCUACACCACCCAUGAAAAAGCUGUGGAAAAGGGGGAGUAUCCAUCCAGAUAAGCCCGAUAAAACCGAAAAGUGUAAGUAUAAUUCUAACGGAAAAAAUGCAUUUCUAUUUUGGACGAGAAAUGUUACAUUCCAUUGGAAUUUCAUUUUUGGAAAUCGGAAAUACCACUCAAAAUUGAAUCAAAAUUUCUUUACAAAUGUACAUUUUGUACAUAUUUGAAACUCAAACAUAAUUUAAACGCAUUUCAAAAUAGUGAAACAAUAAUCGAUAAGGGUCAAUAUCCCAACUAGAUGAUUGAAUCUUUAAGAGAUAAGUAGACACAUAAAAUUCAUUUUCACUUUCUUUUUGCGAGAGUCAUAAAGAAUGACAAUAACUACUAUGGGGAUGAAUAAUCAGGGGAAAAUAUUUAUACAAUACAAAAGCGAUCACUAAUUAGGGAAAAUAAGAAAUAGGUAUUACCGCGCAAAAGUGACAUUACAUACACCUUGAGAGCUAGUGACCCGAGAAGACAUCAUCAUUCGUAGCCGGCAUACCGCGGAAUCAAAGGCAAGCAACAUAUCAGUCAAACAUAUAAAAUAGCAGUCAACGGAAGGUAGAGGGUAUGGUAGAGGGUAUUGGAUAUUCUUUGGUAGAACGAGACCAUCACACACGAGAAGGUGCACAUAUGGAAAGCGAGUCAAAACAAUAUUCAUUAUUCAAAAAAUCAUAUCGUCAAAAGACGUUUAUUGAAGCCAAAUUAUGUGCUUAAAGAGAAUUAAGGAAGUUCUCAAACCAUAGCGGAAAUUUUCUGCACUGUAGGUCAUUCGAUCUAUCAUUUUUUUUGGAAAGCAUUCUACGAUUAAAAACCACGAACCUGUUUCACGAACGAUUUUGAAACAAAAAGUUUUUUUUAACAAGAAAACAAUAUUUGCAUCAGAAAAUUCAAUUUUCAUGACCAACUGGGAGAAGUGAACGAGAGAUGAGCGGGAAAUACUCAGAAGAAGGCAACACCUGGAAAGUCGCGAUGGAUCAGCAGGAAUGGAGUAACAGUAAAACUCAUUUUUCGAGUAGAGCGGAAGUACAUCUUACCCAACUGAGGAACGAUUGCAGCAUUGAUAUCGCGACGAAGGAAGUCCAUACCUAACACCCAACGUAAGAUAUUCUAUCUGACUGGACAAGUUUAAGUAUGUGAACGUGAUAAGCAGAACUGUGAUGGAAACUUGAGGAACGAGAGGAUGACCAAUGAGGCGAAGGCGAAGGACAACAUGCUCUCAAGCGUAUCAUACAACAUGAAUGAAUUAUUAUUUCAGGAGUACAUUGGUUACGAUAAAUUAAUCAGGAAAAUUGCGUCGAGGAUAAAAUACUACCAAUUUUGUUAAGAAGAAUUGUCUCCAAAGAUAUACAUAUUUCAUUUCAUUUUAUAACCAAUAUCAUUUUAUAAAUUCAUGAAUAAUAAUAACCAACGCUAACCGUUUGUAUCUUCAAUUAAAGAUAUCAAACAGCUAAUUAACCAAGGGGAUAUUGAACCAACCAUAGCCUAAUUGAUUAAUUAAUCAUUCAUUAUUCAUUAGUUAUUUGCUUUCAUUAACUGAUCAUUUGCAUCAUCAUGAGCAAGACUCAAGCUAGGAUGGUAGCUACCUACAUACGGUACAUUUAAAUUAUUGCAUCAUCAUAUGUGACAUGCGCGAAAGCGAAAUAAACAAAUCAUACGCGGUAGUUGGUCAGCGGGUGACCUAGUUUGCUUCAGCAGGUCUCUACCUGUUGAAGUUGGCAUACGGUAAGCCAAAAAGAAUGCAUAACUACCGGAGUAUAACAUAAUAAAACAUGUGACUCAUAUAAGGAAGCAUUCUAGCCGCUUCCAAUUAGAUACUAAGUAAGAGACGCGAGCUUUCUCUCUCGCGCUUUUCGAAGUACUAGAAUGUUGGUACUUUAGUAAAGAGAGCGAGAGCGGAGAAUGUGACGCUAGGCGCUUAAGUUAAGUUAAGUG